rnacentral:rRNA from 1 species
UACGGAGGGGGCUAGCGUUGUUCGGAAUUACUGGGCGUAAAGCGCACGUAGGCGGCUUUGUAAGUUAGAGGUGAAAGCCCGGAGCUCAACUCCGGAAUUGCCUUUAAGACUGCAUCGCUAGAAUUGUGGAGAGGUAAGUGGAAUUCCGAGUGUAGAGGUGAAAUUCGUAGAUAUUCGGAAGAACACCAGUGGCGAAGGCGACUUACUGGACACAUACUGACGCUGAGGAGCGAAAGCGUGGGGAGCGAACAGG